CGCCGAGGCCGAGCCGGUUCGCCCCGCGCCCCUGGUCCACCUCGAGCACUCCCGAGUCGCCGUGUGCAAGCAGAAGACCCAGGGAAACCCCGCAUCCACUCGUCGUUCUUCCAAGCUGCCGCACGCUCCAGCUAGGACGAAACGGAUCUCGCCCCGGGGCUUGGAGUUCUUCGUCGUUCACCGCCUUUUUCCGACACCUGCUCCAGAAUGACGUCGCCACCGAUGCUCGACGCCGCCAGAGCCCCUCGGUUCACGUUGUCACCAUUACCUAUAGAUGGAGUCCCCGCCGUCGUUUGAGCUACCACCACCUCCGCCGCUCAACACCGCACCUGCCCGUCACCUCAUCUUCACGGGAGCACCGCUGGAGAAGCGCCGCCACUAACGCCCGAGACCGCCAUCGUCGUCCUUUCGAUUGUCCAGAGUGCGACGCGAACUAUUGUCAGGAGUGUGAAUUUCUGAACCAGA